AAAUGUUUCAUUGGAAGAAAAAAAAAAAAAAAGGAUGACCUAAAUAAUCAGAUAAAAGGUUGAUUGUAGAGUAAGCAGAGGUAGUAUGGAGUUUACAAAUUACUUGGAAAAAGUGGCAAAGGCAACCUCUCUCUAGCUUAUGAUUGAAUUCCUAGGGCUGUUACCUGGACCAGUACUACUCUGCUGUUCUCUGCAGUAAGCAUUACCCACCAGAGGGAGCCGAAGCCAAGAACUGUCAGAUUUUGAUCUGCCUUCCAGUUCUCAGAGCGUUCCCUACUGCAGAUGAAGAAUUGGCCUCUUUUUACAGAUUCUCCAAGGCUCAUUUUACAGCUUUUGAAAAAGAAGUAUGCGAAGAAGCAGAUGGGUCAUUACAUUGUUAUUUGCCAAAGGAAGGAGUUGACAAUUCUUGAGGGAGAACUGCUGCUUGGCCUUCCUGAGACUAGAAUCUUGGAGACUGGAGAAGGAGGUAAAACAGGAAAUGGAAAGACUGCAACUUGCUUGUGAAAAACAUAAUGCCAUUGCUCAGUACUUGCUUAGUGGAGAUGAAAAGGUUAAAAAAUGAUUGAAAAAUUAACCAACUGUGUACUUCGUGGCAAUUACAGAUGAUCCCAUUGGAAUUGUUUUUGGAGUCAUUAUGGAAAUCAGGUCAUUCCUGAAUAUGUUUCUGUUUUGUUAUUACAUGUAUGGCACACUAUAAUCAUUAGUUCAAGUUCCUCUAACGAAUGACUUGCUGAGACAGGAAAAAUGAGGAAGCUGGCUAAUGCUGACAAAGUAAUUUCACAAAACACAAAAAAUAAGUGAGUAGCUCUUGUGCUUCUGCUGGUGAAUCAGAGAUCAGUGAUCUCUAAUGGUUUUCGUUUUAAACAGAAAUCUGCUUGAAAUGAUAGACUGAAAGAAAACUAUGCCAAAGCUAUACAGUCUAUAUUUUAAUGAAGUUGCUUGUAUCAGUACCAUGUUCAACUGAAACUCAUAAUACCCUGUUAUAUAAUAUUAAUGUAAUAUAAUGUUAAUGUAAUAUAAUAAAGGUAUGAUAUUU